rnacentral:rRNA from 1 species
UGAGGAAUAUUGCUCAAUGGGCGCAAGCCUGAAGCAGCGACGCCGCGUGGACGAUGAAGGCUUUCGGGUCGUAAAGUCCUUUUUUAGGUGACGAGCAGGGACGGUAGCCUAAGAAUAAGUGUCGGCUAACUACGUGCCAGCAGCCGCGGUAAAACGUAGGACACGAGCGUUAUCCGGAGUUACUGGGCGUAAAGGGCGUUUAGGCGGGUGAUUAAGUUCGCUAUGAAAGCGCCAGGCUAAACCUGGCGAGGCUGGCGGAUACUGGUCAUCUGGAGUAGGUCAGAGGAAGGUAGAAUUCCGCGUGUAGUGGUGAAAUGCGUAGAGAUGCGGAGGAAUACCAGUGGCGAAGGCGGCCUUCUGGGACCUAACUGACGCUGAAGCGCAAAAGCAUGGGGAGCGAA